rnacentral:rRNA from 1 species
GAAUUGUUCGCAAUGGGCGCAAGCCUGACGACGCAACGCCGCGUGGAGGAUGAAGGUCUUCGGAUUGUAAACUCCUGUUGCCUGGGACGAAUUGUCCAGACCUAAUACGUCUGGGUAUGACGGUACCAGGUGAGGAAGCCCCGGCUACCUCUGUGCCAGCCGCCGCGGUAAUACGGAGGGGGCAAGCGUUGUUCGGAAUUACGGGGCGUAAAGGGCGCGUAGGCGGCCCUCUAAGUCGAACGUGAAAUCCCUGGGCUCAACCCAGGAACUGCGUCCGAGACUGGAGGGCUAGAAUCCGGGAGAGGGAUGUGGAACUCCAGGUGUAGCGGUGAAAUGCGUAGAUAUCUGGAGGAACAUCGGUGGCGAAGGCGGCAUCCUGGACCGGUAUUGACGCUGAGGCGCGAAAGCCAGGGGAGCAAACGGG